rnacentral:rRNA from 1 species
UACGUAGGGGGCUAGCGUUGUCCGGAUUUAUUGGGCGUAAAGAGCGUGUAGGCGGCCAGGUAGGUCUGGUGUGAAAACUCGAGGCUUAACCUUGAGAUGUCAUCGGAAACCAUUUGGCUAGAGUCCGGAAGAGGAAAGUGGGAUUCCUGGUGUAGCGGUGAAAUGCGCAGAUAUCAGGAAGAACACCAAUGGCGAAAGCAGCUUUCUGGGACGGUACUGACGCUGAGACGCGAAAGCGUGGGGAGCGAACAGG